CCCUUUUAUAGCUCACUCCCUACCUUUAGUCUUGAGAGAUCCUGUAGGUUUAGAAAGCUCCCUGCCACAAAUCGUCUGCCAGACCUGGGUAGCAACGUGCCACAGAAGUGCGCUACAAAAUCCUGCCCUCUCAUUUUGCAUCACGACUCCCAAUUUGGUCAAAGAAGAGUCAUCCUCCUUUAAGUGCCAAGAAGAGGCCUUCUACCUUCUGGUGCAAGAAGACAUUGAACACAGCAAUAUAUUGCACCCGUUCACUCUACUAGCAAGACAGGCUGUAUUCCAGCAGAUGUCUGAGGACAAUUGGGGGUCAAAAUAUAUGUGACUGUCAGCUUGCUCGCUAGUCCAGGUGAGUCAGAUUUUUGACAGGUACAAAAAUAGCUUUAAUUUUUUCAUUAGUACCAAUGAUGAGGUUAAAAGCCAAAUGAAAAGACUUUGCAGCUGGGCUGGUAAAUGUUCAUGACAGUUUUGCAAGAGGUUUUUCCCUUCACAAACAAAACCACCACCUAGCUGCCUUCAUUCUCUUUUCUCACAAUCUUCUAUGAUAGCACAGUUGAAACUCUGCUUAUUUCCAUGUUAACAGUAGAAGAGUUUAGAAAAAAAAUUAACUCCUGAAUAGCAUUGAAGGCAUGUACAAGAAUAAUUAAUUGUUUCCUUGAACAGUAACUGUUCAAACUACUAGGCUAGUUUGAAGUAAUGCUUCAGAGCUAAAUGCAGGAACUGCUGAUAAGCAACCUUACGGGUGACAGGGUUGUUAUGCACCAAAGUACUCCAGCAGUGGUGCAGGACAGCAUGUAUAGUAGGCUAAUAUAUCUGAACAUAUGAGAAAAAAAAAGAUUGGUUUGUAGAGAUGUAACUAGAGGUAUGUUACAUCCUCACUAUUAGUCUGUCCGGCACAGCACUAAGCCCUUUUCACUUUAGCUGUUUUGGGUAAAAACCUAUUAUCUAUUCUAUUUAUUAUAUUCGCCACUGGCAAUAUUGUGUCUAUGUCCUUGUGUGGUGUUACUGAUCAGAUAUUGAAACCUUACUAAUCUUUUACACUAACUAAACACAAG
rnacentral:lncRNA from 1 species